rnacentral:rRNA from 1 species
AUGGCUGAUCCGCCAUCCCUAGCCUCCCCCGCAUCGCAGCAGCCCGACCAGCUCGCCGCCUCUGAUUCCAUCCCGCCGAACUCCAACCCCCAAAUCCCCCCGCCCCCCAUCGUUUCCUCCGUGCAGGUCAACCCGGCGUCGGCUGUUACGGGAGGCAGAUCCACGGACCUCCCGCCGCAGCUGCAGGCGCCUUCUCGCGCGCAGGCGGCUGAAGGCGCCGGAGGAUUCGGUGCGAUCCACCGCUCGGGCCAGGCCCCCCUCGCCCCCGCCGUCGGCCAGCCUCCACGGUACGCGACAGCCGGCACGACAUAUGCCACGCAGAUGACCUUCCCGGGCGGCGGGGGGCAGUUGCGCCAGCAGCCGGGGCUGCGCGCGGCCAUGUUUGGGCAGGGGCAGCCGAGGAUGCUUCAAGGGCAGGGCAACGCAGCCUCCGCGGCGCAGUACGAGCUCCAGUUCCAGCCAACGAUGAUAGCGCAGCCAGGGCAGAGGGGCGUGGUACAAGGCGUGCAAUUCAACACUCCCACUGCACAAGCGCAGUCCAUGGGUGCUUCCCUGAUGAACCAGAUGAGGCCUAAUGGAAUUACUACCCCAUAUGGUGCUCAAACUCAGCAACGUUCUGCCUAUCAUGCACAAAUGAGGCCACAGCAGCAACCUGGAUCAUCACAAAAUGGUCCUGUGGUGCAGAUGUUACCAACGCAUCAGAUGCAAUCGGCAAUGGCCUCGCCUGCUUCUCCACAUCAACGCCAGCAAGAACAAAUGAUGCAACUGAUACAACAACUUCAGCAGAGAGGAUUGAAUCGCCAGCAGAUUGCGCAGGCGCUACAGCGACUUCCCCAUCUUAAUGCCCAACAUCUGAACCAGCAGCAACGGCAACAACAGCAAGCAUCUCCAAGGAUGCCAGCAUCAUCCGCAGGGAAGCCCGCAAACAUGGCAGGAUCGCAGCCGGCGACACCUUCCUCAGGCGGAACCGCGGCGGGUGCAAAUGCGCCGCAUCAAGGAGGGGGAAAUUGCAGCCAACUUCUUGGGAAGAGAAAGAUACAUGAUUUGGUGGCGCAGGUGGAUCCACUCUGCGAGGCUUGCAAAGCACAGGAAAUCAUCGGUUGUGGAAGCCAAGGAUGUGCUACUGCACCUGCAGAAGAAUUGUCACCUGUCCGCUCCUGGUUUCCCACAGGAGAGGAUGUGAAUGAAUCUGCAGAGAAAUUCAGUGUAGCCUUUGGUAGAAUUGUGGCAUUUACUACUUUGAAAAGCGUGAAUUGUAUUUGA